GACAGAGGAUGCAAGCGUUAUCCGGAAUGAUUGGGCGUAAAGCGUCUGUAGGUGGCUUUUUAAGUCUGCCGUCAAAUCCCAGGGCUUAACCCUGGACAGGCGGUGGAAACCACCAAGCUGGAGUACGGUAGGGGCAGGGGGAAUUUCCGGUGGAGCGGUGAAAUGCGUAGAGAUCGGAAAGAACACCAACGGCGAAAGCACUCUGCUGGGCCGACACUGACACUGAGAGACGAAAGCUAGGGGAGCGAAUGGG
rnacentral:rRNA from 1 species